AACAGUCCGAAAGGAUUGCUAAUACCUCAUGUGAUCAUGGAGUUUAGAAAUCUAUGAUUAAAGGAGUAAUUCACUUCGAGAGGGGCCUGCGUACCACCAGCUAGUUGGUGAGGUAAUGGCCCACCAAGGCGAUGACGGUUAGGGGACCUGAGAGGGUGGCCCCCCACAAUGGAACUGAAACACGGUCCAUACACCUACGGGUGGCAGCAGUAGGGAAUAUUAGUUAAUGUGCGAAAGCGCGAACUAGCAACGCCGCGUGUGCGAUGAAGGCCUUCGGGUCGUAAAGCACUUUUCUAAGGGAUGAGGAAGGACAGUACCUUAGGAAUAAGCAUCGGCUAACUACGUGCCAGCAGCCGCGGUAAAACGUAGGAUGCGAGCGUUAUCCGGAUUUACUGGGCGUAAAGCGCGUGUAGGCGGUUCGGUAAGUUGGAUGUGAAAGCUCCCGGCUUAACUGGGAGAGGUCGUUCAAUACUGCCGAGCUAGAGGAUGGUAGAGGGAGGUGGAAUUCCGAGUGUAGUGGUGAAAUGCGUAGAUAUUCGGAGGAACACCAGUGGCGAAAGCGGCCUCCUGGACCAUUUCUGACGCUCAGACGCGAAAGCUAGGGUAGCAAACGGGAUUAGAGACCCCGGUAGUCCUAGCCGUAAACGAUG
rnacentral:rRNA from 1 species